CCGCACAAGCGGUGGAGCAUGUGGUUAAUUCGAAGCAACGCGAAGAACCUUACCAGGUCUUGACAUCCCUGACAACCCGAGAGAUCGGGCGUUCCCCUUCGGGGGACAGGGUGACAGGUGGUGCAUGGUUGUCGUCAGCUCGUGUCGUGAGAUGUUGGGUUAAGUCCCGCAACGAGCGCAACCCUCGACCUUAGUUGCCAGCAUUCAGUUGGGCACUCUAAGGUGACUGCCGGCUAAAAGUCGGAGGAAGGUGGGAUGACGUCAAAUCAUCAUGCCCCUUAUGACCUGGGCUACACACGUGCUACAAUGGGCGGUACAGACGGACGCAAAGCCGCGAGGUGGAGCAAAUCCUAAAAAGCCGGUCUCAGUUCGGAUUGCAGGCUGCAAUUCGCCUGCAUGAAGUCGGAAUCGCUAGUAAUCGCAGGUCAGCAUACUCGCGGUCGAAUACGUUCCCGGGCCUU
rnacentral:rRNA from 1 species